CGCGAAUCGCCCUUGGGGUGCACCAGGCGCGAAAACUUUACAAUGCGGGAAACCGUGAUAAGGGGACACCGAGUGCCAGCAUCAUAUGCUGGCUGUCCGGGUGUGUAAAAUACACCCGUUAGCAAGGGCCGGGCAAGACCGGUGCCAGCCGCCGCGGUAACACCGGCGGCCCGAGUGGUGAUCGUGAUUAUUGGGUCUAAAGGGUCCGUAGCCGGUUUGGUCAGUCCUCCGGGAAAUCUGACGGCUCAACCGUUAGGCUUUCGGGGGAUACUGCCAGGCUUGGAACCGGGAGAGGUAAGAGGUACUACAGGGGUAGGAGUGAAAUCUUGUAAUCCCUGUGAGACCACCUGUGGCGAAGGCGUCUUACCAGAACGGGUUCGACGGUGAGGGACGAAAGCUGGGGGCACGAACCGGAUUAGAUACCCGGGUAGUCCCAGCCGUAAACGAUGCUCGCUAGGUGUCAGGCAUGGCGCGACCGUGUCUGGUGCCGCAGGGAAGCCGUGAAGCGAGCCACCUGGGAAGUACGGCCGCAAGGCUGAAACUUAAAGGAAUUGGCGGGGGAGCAC
rnacentral:rRNA from 1 species